UGAACCAAAACUGAAAAUUCUGAAAAAAAAUACUGGCAAAUUGAAAAAGUCAACAUAUUUAAUUUCAGACAAAUGAAACAUUUUAUUCAACCUAAGUAGAACUGCUUCAACAUGAGCGAGUGAGAGACACCCAUCUCCACAUAUAGGGCAUUCUCCUGAGAAGUAGGAGACCAGGUUCAAAUAUCUUCCCCACAUCAGGCUAAUGGAGGAAUUGAACCCUAGAUAACCACAAGGAGGUACUAUCCUGUGAUCUCUGGGCUUGGAUUUGUUCCUCUUUUUUGUCAUUGAUGAUGAUAGUACAAGAAUUAAUUAAAAAUAAUCAGAG